rnacentral:hammerhead_ribozyme from 1 species
AGCUAGUUGACGAGUCCCAAAUAGGACGAAAUGUGCGUUAUCCUGGAU